AUUAUGGAGAGUUUGAUCCUGGCUCAGGACGAACGCUGGCGGCAUGCCUAAUACAUGCAAGUCGAGCGAAUGA
rnacentral:rRNA from 1 species